UUUUUUUUUGCUAGCAACCGGUUUGAGCAUGAGGACCGUGUGAAGAGGCUGCUCAUGCUGGCGGCUGCACCCAAAGGCUGUGUGGAAAGCAACGUGAGGUGAUUGUAAAGUAUGUCAACUAAUUCAGGAUAAGAGUGUAACAACAACAAAAUGGAUGCAUGCAGGUCGUAGCCUCACUCAACAAACCGCUACUCACUUCAACUCAUCGCACAGUGGGACCAGGCUGUCAAUCAGGAUCGUAUAAUUCGUCCGUCUCACAGACAAGGAGCCUGGGGAUUGUGAGUUCUUGUCGGGAUGACUGAUGAUAUCUGGUGACGCUCAUCAAUUUAUUUCUGACGAUGUUCAGUUGAUAAUUCAACUCAUACAAUGAUGG